rnacentral:rRNA from 1 species
AGCGAACGCUGGCGGCAGGCCUAACACAUGCAAGUCGAACGAACCUUUCGGGGUUAGUGGCGGACGGGUGAGUAACACGUGGGAACGUGCCUUUAGGUUCGGAAUAACUCAGGGAAACUUGUGCUAAUACCGAAUGUGCCCUUCGGGGGAAAGAUUUAUCGCCUUUAGAGCGGCCCGCGUCUGAUUAGCUAGUUGGUUGAGGUAAUGGCUCACCAAGGCGACGAUCAGUAGCUGGUCUGAGAGGAUGAUCAGCCACAUUGGGACUGAGACACGGCCCAAACUCCUACGGGAGGCAGCAGUGGGGAAUCUUGCGCAAUGGGCGAAAGCCUGACGCAGCCAUGCCGCGUGAAUGAUGAAGGUCUUAGGAUUGUAAAAUUCCUUCACCGGGGACGAUAAUGACGGUACCCGGAGAAGAAGCCCCGGCUAACUUCGUG